rnacentral:rRNA from 1 species
GGAGGAAGUAGGGGAUCGCAAGACCUUGCGCUUUUGGAGCGGCCGAUGCCUGAUUAGCUUGUUGGUGAGGUAAAAGCUCACCAAGGCUUCGAUCAGUAGCUGGUCUGAGAGGACGACCAGCCACACUGGGACUGAGACACGGCCCAGACUCCUACGGGAGGCAGCAGUGGGGAAUUUUGGACAAUGGGGGCAACCCUGAUCCAGCCAUGCCGCGUGGGUGAAGAAGGCCUUCGGGUUGUAAAGCUCUUUCAGCCGGAACGAAACGGUUACGGUUAAUACCCGUGACUACUGACGGUACCGGAAGAAGAAGCACCAGCUAACUACGUGCCAGCAGCCGCGGUAAUACGUAGGGUGCGAGCGUUAAUCGGAAUUACUGGGCGUAAAGCGUGCGCAGGUGGUUUUGUAAGUCAGAUGUGAAAUCCCCGGGCUUAACCUGGGAACUGCGUUUGAAACUACAAAGCUAG